UACGGGGGGAGCAAGCGUUGUUCGGAUUUACUGGGCGUAAAGAGCUCGUAGGCGGCUGCUCAAGUCGAAUGUGAAAACUCGAGGCUCAACCUCGAGCCUGCAUUCGAUACUGGGCGGCUAGAGUCUGGUAGGGGGGAUCUGGAAUUCCUGGUGUAGCGGUGGAAUGCGCAGAUAUCAGGAGGAACACCGGUGGCGAAGGCGGGAUCCUGGGCCAGUACUGACGCUGAGGAGCGAAAGCGUGGGGAGCAAACAGG
rnacentral:rRNA from 1 species